rnacentral:rRNA from 1 species
GUGGGGAAUCUUGCGCAAUGGGCGAAAGCCUGACGCAGCCAUGCCGCGUGGAUGAUGAAGGUCUUAGGAUUGUAAAUCCUUUCACCGGUGAAGAUAAUGACUGUAGCCGGAGAAGAAGCCCCGGCUAACUUCGUGCCAGCAGCCGCGGUAAUACGAAGGGGGCUAGCGUUGCUCGGAUUUACUGGGCGUAAAGGGCGCGUAGGCGGACAUUUAAGUCAGGGGUGAAAUCCUGGGGCGCAACCUCGGAACUGCCUUUGAUACUGUGUGUCUUGAGUAUGAGAGAGGUGUGUGGAACUCCGAGUGUAGAGGUGAAAUUCGUAGAUAUUCGGAAGAACACCAGUGGCGAAGGCGACACACUGGCUCAUUACUGACGCUGAGGCGCGAAAGCGUGGGGAGCAAACAGGAUUAGAAACCCUUGUAGUCC